rnacentral:lncRNA from 1 species
CCUUCAUGCGCAGGUGUGAGGGUCGGGUGGGGUUUGGAAGCGGGGGUUGUAAAUACCAGCCCAAACUAAACCGGACCAAUAGAGCGAGGAGGAGAGCGUGGCCCAUGCUUGGGGGUUGGCGCGGGGGACGUGGGCAGGGGAGGGAGGGGAGUGGGAAGGAGGGGGAGGGCGCCGUGGCUUUCAUGCGCAGGUAUGAGGGGGGUUGGAGCGGGGGAGGUGGAGUGUGGGAGUUGGGGAGGGAAGGCGUGGUGCCCUUGAUGCGCAGGUGAGGGUUUUUUUGGGAGAGCGUGCGUUUGUGCGUGGUCGUGUGUGGGGCGGGCAGAGAGAAUUGAGGGGGAGCAUGUGGAGGCAGAAGGGAGGAUAGAGUGAGGGCGUGCGUGCCGAACCUUCCCUCCAACUCACGGCGUCCCUUUGACUUUCAUUUUACCCUUCAAUGCUAAUGAAAUACAGACAAUCCUGAACCUCAUUUCUAAUAACUCAACAGGCAGAUGCACGACUGGCUGGACCUGUCGCUGCACCGCGGCCUGCCCUCAUCGCUGCUGCUGCUCAGCCGCGCCUUCACCAUCACCGCCAGCGUCAAGGACGUUGCCGCCAAGAAGGAUGUGAGCCGCAGGGGCUUUGCUGUGUGUUACAGUGUUUGUGUGUCUUUCUUGUGUUGCGGUGUUUCUCGUACACGCUCUUGCCCACUUCCUCGCACACGCUCUUGCCCAUUUUCUCGCACACACUAUUGCCAACUUCCUCGCACGCUUUCCUCGCACGCUUUCUUACCAAUUUUCUCGCGCUCGGUAUUGCCAAUUCUAUUGCGCCCGCAGCUGGCCUACGAGAAGCUCAAGGAGACGCUGUCGGUCAUCCCUGAGGAGGUCGUGGAGCGGGUGGAGUUCGAGACGCUGGGCGGCGGCGCCGGGGCGGGCGGCCAGGACGGGGCCAAGGUGCGUGUGUGUGUGUGUUUGUGUGGGGUGGUGGUGGAGGGUUGAUAGUGGUGUGAUUGGGUCACGGCAGUCGGGGUGAGUGCGGUUUGGGGAAUGGCGUUGUCGUGGGACUGGUGUGUCGGGGGUUUCAGGUUCGUUGACAGCUUUGGGGUUGGGGUCGGGAAACAGCGGUGUUGGUGGGGUGUUGGAACACGCCCCAAUCGCUGAUUCUCAACUCUUUCUACAAUAAUUAUGAACCAAACGAAGCAAAACCUCAAACUUACAAUACAAACAAAACACAACACAGGCCAUGGAGAAGAAGCUGGAGUAUCUGAAGCGCGAGGAGGAGAUCAUCAAGGAGGAGGAGGAGGAGGCGGUGAAUGUGGUGGCGCGGCUGUGUGUUUUUACGGUGGUGAAGGGAGAUGGGAGAUGGUGGAUUGGUGGAGUUGUGGUGGUGGUGGCACUGUGACUGGGGCACUGGUGGAGCGAUGAGUGUGGGGCGCGAGAGAGAGUGUGGGUGUGUGAGGGGUGACUUAGGGCGAGGGCGGGAGUAGGCUGUGGGUGGCAGGGGGAGGGGCGGCUGCAGGAGCCCCCGGGGUGCAGGCGGGUCGUGAGCAGCGGCAGGCGCGGGGGAGGCACGGGGCGUACGGGCUUCUUGCGGGGGCGGGGCCGGAAAGGCCGACGUGGCAUAAGAAGAACGCUACCGGCACGGUGAGGAGGAGGGAAGUGUCAUUGAACUUGGCGGGUUAGCAGGAGGCUCAUGGGCACGGCGGCGGCGGUGGUGGUGGUUGCGGCCUGGGCCUGUUGGUGCGUGUGGGUGUGGGUGCGACGACAUGUGUGUGCGCUCGCUUGCGGCCCCCACCCCCNN